AUUGAACGCUGGCGGCAGGCCUAACACAUGCAAGUCGAACGGUAACAGGAAGCAGCUUGCUGCUUUGCCGACGAGUGGCGGACGGGUGAGUAAUGUCUGGGAAACUGCCUGAUGGAGGGGGAUAACUACUGGAAACGGUAGCUAAUACCGCAUAACGUCGCAAGACCAAAGAGGGGGACCUUAGGGCCUCUUGCCAUCGGAUGUGCCCAGAUGGGAUUAGCUAGUAGGUGGGGUAACGGCUCACCUAGGCGACGAUCCCUAGCUGGUCUGAGAGGAUGACCAGCCACACUGGAACUGAGACACGGUCCAGACUCCUACGGGAGGCAGCAGUGGGGAAUAUUGCACAAUGGGCGCAAGCCUGAUGCAGCCAUGCCGCGUGUAUGAAGAAGGCCUUCGGGUUGUAAAGUACUUUCAGCGGGGAGGAAGGGAGUAAAGUUAAUACCUUUGCUCAUUGACGUUACCCGCAGAAGAAGCACCGGCUAACUCCGUG
rnacentral:rRNA from 1 species